rnacentral:lncRNA from 1 species
AGUGAAGGAGCAAAGGGGACUCGGCCGCCAUGUUAGGAGUACUGGGACGAUUCCGCGGAGCCGGGCAGAGGUUUUAGGGGUGCGCAGGAGUCAAGUGGUGGUUCAGUGGGGACGGAAUGAUUAACAAAGGCGUCCGAAGAAAUCGUUGUUGGAAGGUGACCAAGGUGGAAAGAGACGUUGCUUUGGCCCUGCAAGUAAGAAGAGAGAGGGAAUAGCCUGAAGGAGUAACACUAAAUUUAAAAUGACACUUUUUUACCAACCAGCGAAAGCAGAUGUUCAAAGGGGAUAUUGGCCAGAGUCUGUCACACUAAGAUGAGAAAUGUCCUUUCUUCCUGAAGGUGUCUGAUGUGUAAAAAUAUGAUAUACUUUGUGCUGUUUCCUCCCUUCCCUUUUGCAUAUUAUUCUGAAACAACAUUAACUAGUUACUUUGCGUCAUUGAAGGUAUGCACUUCCCCUCUAUGUUAGGAGUGAAUAAAAUUAAAAAUAGAUCCUUAUAACAAAGAAAGGCAGAUAGAAUGAUUAAAAAUGACCAAAACAUGUUAGAAACAGUCUCUCAGGUGUAUGCAGAUGGUAAUUACAAAAAUACUUUUUCAAAAAAUGAUCUUCUGUGUCAUGUUUCUGGGAACAAGUCAAGAUGAAUGAGUUUGAUUUUUAAGCAGAAGUAGUAUGUGUUGGUGUCAUCCAUGAAUACAACAAUGAAAAAGGCUCAAAGUUGUUGUUAUUCAGAAACUUCUCUAAGUAAUGGUGGUAAGUACAGGAAAAGGAGCAAUGUCUACCAUUUUCUUUCUAACCUUCGAUUUAACUAUUGUAAUGUUGUAAGCUUAACAGAGACUUACACUUAGGCUUAAUUUCAAGCUCUUCAAUCAUUUUUCCCGGUUGGUGAUUCAGGUGUAUUCUCAUGUCUUAUGUAAACUUAUCAUGAGUGUUGUUGAUUUAUAAUAUAUUUCUUUAUGUAAGCCAUAGCCUUGUCAGUUUGAGUUAUAUGGAAGACAAAUUGUAGGGAAAAAGAGCAACAGAUUACUCAGAAACCUUCUGUGUGAGCUGGGCAUAGUAGUGCAUGCCAGUAGGCUUAGCUACUUGGGAGGCUGAGGCAGGAGGAUCACUUGAUCCCAUUAGUUUGAGGCUGCAGUGAGCUAUGAUUGUGUCACUGUACUCCAAUCUGGACAACAGUGAGACUAUGUCUGUUUUUAAAAAAGAAAGAAAGCUUGUGUUUGAGAAGUGAUACCUCUAGAAUACAGUGAUUUCUAUAAUUUGUCAUGUGUUUGGGUAGUUUGAAGUUUUUCUAUCCUUGUAUCUAAUGGACAUCUGACCAUAAAGAUGAAAAAAUCCUGCACUCAUUAUAAAUUUUAUUUAUAAAAUUGAUAUUUGAGGAGUUGGGGAGGCCAGCUUCUGAAAAAAUAACAGUGUCCCAUAGAAACACCACAACUUAGGAAAAUAUUGUUAAAGUGGAAUUAGGAAUAUCUAGAGGAGGUAAAGCUUUUCAUCUCUCAAAAAAGAAUUAGGGCCAGGCACAGUGGCUGACACCUGUAAUCCUAGCACUUUGGGAGGCCGAGAUGGGCACAUCACUUGGGGCCAGGAGUUCAAGACCAGCCUGGCCAACAUGGCGAAACCCCAUCUCCAAGAAAUAGAAAAGUUAGCCAGGUGUGGUGGCGUGCGCCUGUAAUACCAGCUACUAGGGUGGCUGAGGCAGGAGAAUCGCUUGAACUGGGGAGGUGGAGGUGGCAGUGAGCAGAGAUUGAGCCACUGUACUCCAGCCUGGGCAACAGCAAGACCCUAUCUCAAAAAAAUAAUAAAGAGAAUUAGGACAUGGAUUUGUAUUAAAAUUAUAGGUAGCUCAUUUAAGAGUAUGAAGCCAAUUGCUGUUAGAGCAAGGGUUUUUUUCAGUAGAGGUGUCAGGAUAACCUAUACAGCUCUAAAAGUAUAUGGCUGUUACCUUCCCAUCCCUGUUGAAAUCUCCAGGGUUAGAACCAAGUAUUGUGUUUUUAAAACUAUAGGUGAGUCUACAAGAGUUGGGUGGAGUAGUCCUCUACAUCCUGUGUUUGUAUUUUUGCAGUAAGUCACACAAUAACAAAAGCUUUGAGAAAGAUUUUAGGUUUAUUGCUAAUUAUACCCAUGAAUGAAUUCUGAAAAUGUGUAGAUAAGGAAUUUACCUGGUGAACGGUUUACACAUGGCAAUUGUGGGAGGGAGAGGGGAGUGAGAGGAGAUGAGAUCAGUUUUAGCUUUAAGAGGACCAACCGGGCCAAGCACGGUGGCUCACGCCUGUAAUCCCAGCACUUUGGGGCCGAGGUGGGUGGAUCACGAGGUCAGCAGUUCAAGACCAGCCUGACCAACAUGGUGAAACCCCGUCUCUACUAAACAUACAAAAAAUUAACUGAGUGUGGUGGCGGGUGCCUGUAAUCCCAGCGACUUGGGAGGCUGAGGCAGGAGAAUCGCUUGAAACUGGAAGGCGGAGGUUGCAGUGAUCCGAGAUUGUGCUAAUGCACUCUAGCCCGGGCAAUAACAGCAAAACUCCCGUUUAAAAAAAAAAAAAAAAAAGGGACCAACCAUGAUAUCCUGACUAACCUGUAUAUUUCUUAGAAUGAGGGUUUAGCCUAAUAUUAAGAAAGUCUAAUGUUAAGAGACACCUAGUAAGAGCUCAACGCUGUGGUAAAAUUAUGAUAGUUAUGCAGAAACUUAAAAGCUGAAGUAUCCAGAGACAAUAUAUUGUUUAGAAUUUUCUGAAAAUAAAAAUUUUCUUGCCCUAAGUCUUGAAUUUUUAAGUUAUUGAUGUUAAUAUUUAUGAUCUUUGAACAAAUGAUAUUAUAAUAGAGUAUCUUUUAGGUCACAGAGACCCCUUUUUAGAGCUGAGAAAUCUUACAAAUUCCUCAGCCCAUGUUUUACAGAUAAGGAAAUGGGCAUGCACACAGUGAAAUUAAAAAUUGCUAGUGGUCACACUGUACAUUGAUGGCAAAGGCAGGGCAGAAUUAGAAUCCAAUUAUCUUACCUGUUCAGUGUCUUUAAUGAUACAGCAAGCUCACCACUGUUUCUCUUUACUCUUUAAACAGUGGAUUUUUUUUGUCAUGAUUUUGAUUUCUUGUAUAAUGCAGUUCAAUACUUGUUUAAUUUUAAUGUUGGACUCUCAAUUUUUAAGACAGUAGUACACAUGAAAUGUGCUUUAUAUUUUAUGUUUCAACAAGAAAAUACACAUUUUCCUUUUAAUAGAGGAGCUUAAGUUCCUAAUUUAAAUAAUUGAGUAUGAGCUUCAGAUACUUCAGAGUGGUAUUAAUAAACUUUGCUUUUCCAAAUGGUUUCAGAUAAGCAUUUAAUAUUCAAAGCUUCCUCUUUACAGCUUAGGAAGUGGUCUGGUUAAGUGACUUGAGUUCAUACAGGAAUAUAUCGGUAUGUUCCUAAUUCCCAUCAAGUGUACCAUUAUGUAAUCAUAUAAUCUUGCUAACAGAUCUAACAGAUUACUUUUUUUUUUUUUUUUUUUUUGAGACAGAGCCUUGCUCUGUCGCCCAGGCUGGAGUGCAGUGGCGCGAUCUCUACUCACUGUAACCUCCGCCUCCCAGGUUCAAGCAAUUCUUCUGCCUCGGCCUCCCAAGUAGCUGGGACUACAGGCAGGCACUACCACACCCGGCUAAUUUUUGUAUGUUUAGUAGAGACGGGGUUUCACCAUGUUGGCCAGGCUGGUCUGGAACUCUUGACCUCAAGUGAUCCGUCUGCCUCUGCCUCCCAAAGUGCUGGGAUUAUAGGAGUGAGCCACUAUGCCUGUCCUCUAGGGAAAAUCUUUAAUUCAUUCUGGACAAUGAGAAAACUUUUAUUUUUACUUUUAGUUAACAAUACUCAGGAAAAUAAAAAGUGUGCUUUUUAAUCUUAGUAACCCAAUUUGAGUUUGAAACAAAUUUACAUAAUUUUAGCUGCUUAAUAUGCUGCUGAAGAUAAAUGCAGUAAAUAUCCCAAGGUCAAGAUUUGAAAUCCAAAUGUCCAUAGUAAUGAUUAACAGGAAAAGAGAGUCCUCUGUUAACUUUAUUUCUCAAUUUUUUACAGGUUUGGAUAAUUAAGGGAGCACUAGAAAACUUUUUUUUUUUUUUUUGAGAUGGAGUCUGUUGCCCAGGCUGGAGUACAGUGGUACGGUCUCGACUCACUGCAAUCUCCGCUCCUGGGUUCAAGUGAUUUCUCUUGCCUCAGUCUCCUGACUAGCUGGGAUUUACAGGCGCAUGCCACCAUGCCCAGCUAAUUUUUGUAUUUUUAUUAGAGACGGGUUUCAUCAUGUUGGUCAGGCUGGUCUCAAACUCCUGACCUCGUGAUCCACCCGCCUCGGCCUCCCAAAGUGCUGGGAUUACAGGUGUGAGCCACCGUGCCCAGCCGAAAAUGUUUCUUUGCAAGGAUAAAUAUAUGAAGAUAAACUUGCCGAGCGUAAAUAUGUUCAUGAAUAUAGCCACUUAAGGAAAUUCAAACAUGCAGAGAUGUUCAGCUGUAUGCAGUUAUGUAUUCAUGAAGUAUUCAUGUAUUCAUGAAGCCUUAUUUGAUGUAGAAUCUGAGGGUGCUGCCUAUACAUAAACUUGCUUAAAGGUUAAAACUUAAGGAAUGUUCAUCAAAGUCACUUUCUUACACCUAACUCCUGAUUUCAUGAAUAUAACACAUAGGUGCUUAUCAAACUGAAUACCUUGGAGAUGAGCUGCUCCAGCACCAGAAGAUAAAAUUCAGUAACUGUAAUCCUUGAGGUACCUAAGUGAUACAUUUUUUUUAAGACUGAGCCAAAAUAAAACAGCUUUCCUCCUUCCCUACCCUCUCCGACCAAACUUUUAGCCAUUUUAUUUAUUUAUUUAUUUGAGAUGGGGUCUAGCCAUGUGGAGUGCAGUGGCUAUUCACAAGCAUGAUCAUAGCAAAUGACAGCCACAGACUCCUGGGUUCGAGCAAUCCUGCCUCAGCCACUCAAGUAACUAGGACUACAGGCGUAUACUGGGGCUUCUAGCCAUUUAUAUGGUAUUAAGUGACAGCUUCUAUAGUUACUUGGUACUUGUCCCUGUAAAACUGCACAGUGUGUAUUCUCUUGGCUCAAUUAUUAGCAUAUUCUGCCAUUUCCUUGUGAAUGUUUUGUAUUUUAUAUAGGAAAACUUAAGUUUUUAAAUAUCCUGAAAUAACUGAAGAAUUUUGUUUUUGCCUUUAAGUGGUAAUGUAUAAAGUAUACUAUUGCAGAGAUACUUACAGAGUGCUUUCAUUGCAAUUAAAAUACUGCAGCUAACUAGCAUGUUCCAUAUGUGUAAUCUAAAUGACAUACUGGUCAUGUGCUAUUUCUAUGGAAUACUAACAGUAGUAUGGUACAUUUAUGCAGUCUCAACAGUUUAAAGUGUUAUUUUGGUGAUAAACUGUUUACAUUUAUUUGUUUUUAUAUUUGGCAGUCUAAAUGCAAGAGUCUCCAUUUCAGCUCUUUACUCUGCAUAUCUUUAAUGUUGGGCAUUAUGCCUCUUUCUUGAGUUUCAGUCCUAUGACUGUUCCAUUUUCAGUAUUCAUGUUUAUGUGUCUUUCUAAAAUUGUUUUGCUUCUGUUUCUUGCUGCUCUUGAGACAAUUUAUGGGCAAAUUUUGUUACUUUUCAACUGGCCGUGUAUUUCCCUGUGAAGAGUUGCUGGAUUGUCUCAUUUUCCAGAUAAACUGAAUUAAUGUAGUAGUGAGGAGAAGCCAGAUUUCAGAGGUUUGACAAGUGAACAAAUGGGAAUGAGAAAAGAAGUAGGUACUUAAACUUUUAAGAAGUUUGGCUCUGAAAAAGGCAAGAAAUAAUGGGUUAGAGAGGGCAGGAUUGUAAGGAUUUAAGAUAGGAGAAGAGGCAUAAGCAUAUUUAAAUUUCCCUACUUAAGGGCCAAAAUCAUACUGUACCUCAGUCUGAACUUUUUAAAGGAAUUCAAGGACACAAAAUUCUGCCCUGCCCUGAAAUCCAGUCAGGAGGAAGGGAGAAGAGCUCUGAAGUACUUUUGUAAUUUUCUUCUACAUAAUAAUUGAUUUUUGUUUGAUUAUUUUUCUUUCCUAUAGCUCCUGUUUGCCAGGUUUUUCAUAGCUGCCUAUUUAACCAAACUUGUACUCCCAAGAAUAGUGCAUAUUUAUGAUUCUUAAUUCCAAAAACACAUGGCAAUGAUAAUGUCUCUGCUUCUUUUGAGAAAUUAACUUGGUUCUGAAAGAUGGUGUUUGCUUUUCACACCUGUAUCAUUAAUACUUCCUUGCCAAACCUAACUAGGAUCCUCACCACCACUGUUAGAGAAAACUGAUGCUCAGUUGAACCAGAAUGUUAAAUGUGAACAGGAUUUGUCUGUGUUGUUGCCCAGCUAUGUUUAUCCAUACACAUUACCUGGAGGAAGAGAAAUCUGAGAUAAUUGAGUUGAUUAGAUUACUUACAUGAAGAUGGUUUAAUUGUAUCAAUACAGAAAAAUGCACAAGGAAAGAAACUGACACCUUAAGGCAACAAAGCCCUCCAUAAAAAGUAACCGAAUUUUGAGAGUUACGAACUAAUGUCCAUUACCUGAAGUCCUUCUCAUUCCAUUACCCAGUAACAUAAAUCAAAUUCAGUAAAUAAGCUGCUUUAUGUCUUGAGAAAUUUAACUGGCAGAAUAAAUGGAAAGAAGUCAGUAAAAAGGGAGCAGUUGAACAAGCAUGGUGUCUCACACCAAUAACCCCAGCACUUUGGGAGGCCGAGGCAGGUGAAUCACUUGAGGUCAGAAGUUCAAGACCAACCUGGCCAACAUGGUGAAAACCCAUCUCUACUAAAAAUGCAAAAAUUAGCUGGGCUUGGUGGCAGGUGCUUGUAAUCCCAGCUACUCAGGAGGCUGAGGCAGGAGAGUCACUUAAAACCCAGGAGGCAGAGGCAGUGAGCUGAGAUCGUGCCACUGUACCCCAUCCUGGGCAACAGGACGAGGCUCCAUCUCAGGGAAAAAAAAAAAGAAAAAGCUGAGCAUGGCGGCAUGUGCCUGUAGUCUUAGCUACUCAGGAGGCUGAGGCAGGAGGAUCACUUGAGCCCAGGAGUCGUAGGUUGCAGUGGUGCCAUUGUGUUCCAGCCUGGGUAAGAGUAAGGCCCUGUUUCAGUAAAAAGAAGGGAGUAACCAAGACAGGUAGGGAUUCAGUAUAAUAAAAGUCAAAAGUAGUUGUUUAUUACUAGAGCCUGGCACUGUAACCUGGUAUGUCCAAAUGUGAUUUAAUUUGCUCUCAAGAUGUGCACCAGAAGAAAUAACCCGAGGCAUUUCAAAGAAAAAACAAAAUGUGACCUGCUAGUUCUGUUACUCUGCCACAAGUUAACACAUUUUGAACUUAAGUGCAGAGUCCCAUACAUCCAGUGUGACUCCCCAAAUCUCAAAAAUUUAGGCUAAAACCUAAUUUUGUGUCCAAGCCAGUGCCUGCUUGUUCCUGCUGAAUUUAAAACUUUGGGUCCAGCAAUCUUCUAUCGCUGGAGGGAGGGAGAGGUAUGAAAAUAAUGUUUAAUGGUAAUUGUUUAUUGUCAUGGGCCCAUAUUAUACCCAGAUUUAGAGAGCUAUUUGACACACCUGUAACCUAAUGUUUAUUUUAACUUAAUAUCUGCUCAGUCAGGUAAGAGAUGCAACUUCACAGAGGUCCAUUUAACGUGCCUAAACCUAAGUAGAAACACAAAAGCUAUGUAUAGUCCCUUGUUUGAGAUAACACUAAAUUUUUAGAGAAUAGCUUGGUACUGUGGUAGACAGAGUUCACUUAAAAUGCAUUUAACAAUUUACAGAUAACUGGAAAGUAAUUCAUUCAUCUUAGAACCCUGGUAGGGACAUUCUAUUAAAAUAUUUGUGUACUAGUUAAAGUCAAAAUAGAAAUACAGCCUAUCACACGGUAUUUAUACUAUGCAUUAUGAUUAAUAAAGCCACCUAAGGUCGUUACUCCAUGAUCAUGGGAAGUUGUUAGUCAUUAAGAGUUCGGGUUUAGCAACAAAAAUCUUGCGUUUGAAUCUAAACACAUUACAUGAUUUUAAGCAUGUUCAUCAUUCUGAGAUUAAAUAAAAAUUAAGGAAAUAUAUGAAAAAUGCUUAAUAAGUACCCAAAAGGUAAUAUGGUGUAGCAACUUAGAAUGUAGACUUCAGAGCCAGUCAGCUAGGAUUAAAAUGACACUUCGGCCAAUCACUGUUGACUAUAAGCAAGUUAUUUAACUCUGCCUCAGUUUUGUCUGUGAAGUAGGGAUAAAAUCUUCCUCGCUAGGUUGCUAUAAGAAUUAAAUGGAUAUAUUAAGUACUAUCAUGUGAGAUCACUUUAUUUGAGGCUAAAAAAAUUUUUUUUAACUAGGAUUCACUGAAAAUACAUCUAUAAAAAAGCCACUCUUUAUCAUGAGAAGUAUGAUUUUCUGUACCUUAGGUGUUAUAAAGCAAUAUCCCCUCAGUUUUAACUUUACCAAAAUACCUGUCUUAGUAAAUGAUACUAUAUAUACCAAAUAUUGCAUAUGUGUAUAUAAACUUCAACUGUCUACUUCUAUCACUGACAGUUUAAAAAUUGAGAUAAAGUAAGUAUUAUCUGAGUAAUAUAACCAUUUUCUAUUUAUUUAUUUAUUUAGAAACAGUCUCACUCUGUCACCCAGGCUGGAGUGCAAUGGCUCGGUCUCAGCUCACUGCAACCUCCGCCUCCUGGAUUCAGGCAGUUCCCCCACCCCACCCUCCCGAGUAGCAGAGACGGGGUUUCACUGUGUUGGCCAGGCUGGUCUCGAACUCCUGACCUUGUGGUCUGCCCGCCUCGGCCCCCCAAAGUGCUGGGAUUACAGGCGUGAGCCACCGCACCCAGCCAAUCUAACCAUUUUCAAGAUUUGAUCUGCAAAUACCUGAAGUAAGUACAAGCACUGUGGCCCAGUUAAAGAGUGUUAGAACUGUAAGAAGUCCAAAGGCAUAGCUAAGAAUUGCUUUAGAGUCAGUUGUGGGUUCUGAAUUCUUGCUCUGAUAGUUAGCAACUAUGUCUACUUUGGCAAAUUUAGGUUUUGAAGCCUUCCAUAUCUUUAAAAGGAGGUAACAUUUAACAGAGCACCAAAUACAAGGUUUUCUGUAAUAUUAGUUCCAUAGCAUGGUCUGCAAACUUCCAACAUCAGAAUCUCCUGGGAUAUAUGCUAAAUGCAGAUUCUGGUUUCCCAACCAGAAUAUACUGCUUAAAAAUCUGAGGGUUAGUUCUAGGAAUCUGCAUUUUUUUCUAUACAAUGUAUGUAUUAGGGUUCCCUGGAGGGACAGAACUAAUAGGAGAUACAUAUAUAUACACACAUAUAUUUAUUAAGUUUAUUGAGAACUUACACGAUCACAAGGUCCCACAGUAGGCUGGCUGCAAGCUUGAGGAAAAGAGAGAGCCAGAGUCUGAGUCUGAAAACUGAAGAACUUGGGGGUCCAGUGUCUGAGGGCAGGAAGCAUCCAGCGUGGGAGAAGGAUGGAAGCUGGGAGGCUAGGCCAGUCUCUCCUCUUCACGUUUUUCUGCGUGCUUAUAUUCUACCUAUGCUGGUAGCUGAUUAGACUGUGCCCACCAGAUUGAGAGUGGGUGGGCCUUCCCCAGCCCACUAACUCAAAUGUUAAUCUCAUUUGGCAACACCCUUACAGACAAACCCAGGAUCAGUAUUUUGCAUCCUUCAAUCAAGUUGACACUUAGUAUUAACCAUCACAAUGUAUGAUUUUUAAAAUCUGCAUUUUUAAUAAGCUACUAGUUUAUUUUUCCACCUAAUCCAAUUCCUAAUUUUAUUUGAAAGCACCAAGGUAAAUAGUUCCUAAAUCACUGUUAUUUAAAUUGUGCUCCAGUACCCCUUAUUCUUGCUGCAAUUCCAAGACAGAGAUAACAAAAAUUUUUUUUUCAAUGUUUUGUUUUUUUGAGACAGAAUUUUGCACUAGCAAAGUGCACUGUUUCAGACAAUCAAGGAAAUAAAACAUUUCUUGAUGAAAUCCUACCUCGCCUCAACAGGAAACUGAAUUGGAGUCCUCAAUUCUCAGUACAUCAGAACUAGUGUGUGAAAGGAUCAGGAGAGGACCAUAGUAUUGGAGAAUAAAACAUUAUGUAUUGAUGGUUGAGCUUUAUGUCAUCGUGUAGUAAAUGCUAUGACCAUAAAGCCAUUACUGUUAACACUUAAGUUUAUCUUCUGAAAGAAGCCUAUGAAAUAUCUCCAGAAAGACUAGGGGAUUUUCUUCUGUUUGUUUGUUUGUUUGUUUGAGAUGGAGUUUGCUCUGUUGCUCAGGCUGGAGUACAGUGGUGCGAUCUCGGCUCACUGCAACCUCUGCCUCCCAGGUUCAAGUCAUUCUCCUGCCUCAGCCUCUGGAGUAGCCAGGACUACGCACUGCGCCACCACACCCAGCUAAUUUUGUAUUUUUGGUGCAGACAGGGUUUCCCCAUGUUGGCCAGGCUGGUCUUGAACUCCUGGCCUCAAGUGAUCCGCCCACCUCGGCCCAAAGUGCUGGCCACCGCGCCCAGUCAGACUUGUUUUUUAGUGAAAUAAAUUGUUUUCCUUUAGGACCUUAUUCUUUAUGAUAACAGAUUCCAAGAAUAUGCAGUCUUGUCAAUGGCUGUUUCAUCCUCAGUUUCUUUAAAAAUAAAAUACAAUUAGAACAUUUUUAGAUAUGCUAUAUCUAUCCAAUCUAUUUUCCUGUCACCCAGUAAGGUUUUCUAUCAUCAGCACAGGUCUAUGAAAGGACAGUAAAGGGUCUCCUGUUACAUACCCUAGCACUAAUGUUUGUAAUAGAAUGUUAAGAUAAGUUGUUUCAUGUAAUCGGACUACAUUCAGUCUUUCUCUACCCUCUGUCCUCUAUUUACCCACCUAUGCAUGUGGCCUACUAAUUAUAUUGACUGUACAUGACCAGCAAGUUGUAAGUUCUUUUAAAAGCAGGAGCUCAACCAUAUUUGUAUUCACAUUUCCUUCUGCUUAAAACAGGGCUCUUGUUUCUUCAGUAAAUAUUCAUUCGGUAUCCACUAGGUGUCAGAUAAUAUACAAGGUAGGUUCUAGGGAUUCCAAGAUAAAUAAACACAGAUAUGCCAAUAUGAGUCUGACAGUUUUGGCGGGGAGAGGUGGAAAAUAGAUCUGCAAGCCAAAAAAGCUACAGUAGAAUAAUAUAAAUAUUGUAAUGGCAAUAAAAUACCAGAACUAUUAAUUUUACAUUUAGUAAUCAUUCAGUAUCAAUUAAAUGGGUAAAAUGGAUAUGUUGGCAUGAAUGACAUAUAACUGAAAAAACACUAAGAACUGUAUAGAAACUGAAUUAGACAUAUGAGUAAUAUUAGUAGGAAGGGGAGAGAAUAUUUGAUUCCAGGUAGGCUACCAAGCAGGAUGUUUUUUCAGCACAGCCUUGGAAUAAAAUCUGUAACCUUUGAAAACAAUCACAUUUUUGUUCUUAUGCAAUCUUUGUUUUUAAAUGUAUUUAUUGUUUUGGCUCUAGUCCCUGAAUGUUAAAAUUUUAGUGUCAGUGUUAAUUCUCACUUAUCUUCUCCAGACCUUACUCCCUAAUUUUCUCAUUUUCAUUUGCCCCAAUAAGUGCCAACCUUACCUUGAAUAGAAUAGUGGAUUUAUCAGCUUACAAGGACUAAAAAGUCGUCAUUUCCAAAAACAUCUGUCCAAUAAGUCUGCCUCAGUGACUACAUUUCUAGCAUUACAAUGUCAUUCUUAGUACACUGAUUUGAUCUUUACAAAUUACAUAAAUGUAUAAAAUUGUCGCAUGUACCCUAAAUUAUAUACAUCUAUUAUGUAUGUAUCAAUAAAAAAAUAAUUUUCUGUGCUUUUUCUCCUGUUAAAAAGAAUUCUUUUCUUUUUGAGACAGGGCCUGGCUCUGUCACCCAGGCUGGAGUGCAGUGGUGCAAUCUUGGCUCACUGCAGCCCCUGCCUCCCAGGCUGAAGUGAUCCUCCCACCUCAGCCUCCUGAGUAGUUGGGACUACAGAUGGGUACCACCAUGCCUGGCUAAGUUUUUGUAGAGACAGGGUUUUGCCAUGUUGUCCAGGCUGGUCUCAAACUCCUGAGCUCCAGCAGUCUUCCUGGCUUGGCUUCCCAAAGCGCUGGGAUUACAGGUGUGAGCCACCACACCCAGCUGAUUCUUUAGAAGACCAGUAUUGCAUUGUGAUUGCCUCUGGGCAGGAAAACUAAGGGGCAUCAGUAGACUAUGCAAUUACUUUCUUCCUCUUUAAAAAAGUAUUGUUAAUUUUUAAAUUUACAUAUUUUGGUAUACAAUUCUAUGAGUUUUGACAAAUGCAAAGAAUCAUAUAACCACCGCCAUAAUUGAGAUACUAAACAAUUCUAUCACCUCAAAAAAAAUCCUCUUGAGCUGUCUCAUUUAUAAUUUUUGUGAUUAAAAAUGGUUAUUUUUCAAAAAGUAACGUUUGGGCCAGUGCGCCUGGAGUGCACCAGUAGUCCCAGCUACUAGGGAGGCUGAGGCAGGAGAAUUGCUUGAACCCGGGAGGUGGCGAUUGCAAUCAGCUGAGAUCACACCACUGCACUCCACCCUGUGAGUGGGCUACAGAGUGACACUCUGUCUAAAAACAAAAACAAAAAAACACUUUAAAUGUUUCAUAUAGUUAUUCCUUAUUCAAAAAGUAUGCCUUUUUGGGUUAAGACAGUGCCAUUUCAAAUAGCCUUGUAGAAAUAUAAGCAAGGAAAUGCUAAAUUAUACCAUUAUUGAUCAUUAGUACCUUAGCUUGUAGUUUAAACUGUUGAAGAGAAUUAGGACUCCACCUGGCAUUGUGGCAUAAGCCAGUAGUCCCAGCUACCCAGGAGGCUGAGGCCUGAGCUCAGGAGUUCAAGACUAGACUGAGCACAUAGCGAGAUCUUGUCUCAAAAAAUGAAAGAAAAAGAAUUAGGACUCAGAAAAGGUAAAGGGUGUGUGUGUUUGAUUAGAUAGAGGAUGGGAUUGAAGGCUUAAGGAGGAGAUUAGGGCCUGAGAUGGAACAAUGCGCAUGGAAGGAUAGAUAUGGGUAGUGUGUUCUGAGUAAUAUAAGAGACCUAGAUUCUCAAAGAUAGAGGGCACCAAAGAGAUGAGUCCUGUAGAGGGGUGACCUUCAUGUAAAAAAUGAUCUAUCUUAAUUGGGAGCUACAGACCUGGGAUUCUGUACUGAACUUAUACAGAAUAAGUAAUUUACUCUUCAAAAGUCGCUUCCCCAGCUGGGCGCAGUGGCUCAUGGCUGUAAUCCCAACACUUUGGAAGGCUGAGGCAGGUGGAUCACCUGAGGUGAAACCCCGUCUCUACUAAAAAUAAAAAAAAAGUAGCCAGGCAUGGUGGUGGGUGCCUGUAAUCCCGGCUACUCGGGAGGCUGAGGCAGGAGAAUUGCUCGAAACCAAGAGGCAGAGGUCGCAGUGAGCUGAGAUGGUGCCAUUGCACUCCAGCCUGGGCGACAAAUGCAAAAACUGCAUCUAAAGAAAAAAAAAAAAAGUCACUACGCCUUUCUGGGCCUCAAUUUCAUAAUCUGUAAAAUAGUAAGGUUGGACUGAGUAUAUACCAAGGUCCAUUUCAGAGUUCUCCAGCUAGAAGCAAAACCCUUGUGUGUAUGUGUUAGUUUUUUUCCCCUAAGGUUUUGUCCUCUAGUUUUAACUAGAGAGACACAUUUGGGAUAUUAAUAACCGAAUUCUAGCAAGCAUUAUGAUCUCUUCAGAUUUCAUGUAGUUUGAUGUCAGAAGCUGCAUAGCAAAGUUAAGCCUGAUCUGAAUUGGCUUCAAGUGGAUAGAGCUGUAUGACCCUCAGUCUUCUCAUGUAUAGAAUGACUUAUAUACUCUAAACUUCCUUGUAGUUUUCAUAUUUCAUGACUAUGAAACCUGUGAAAACUUACCAGUGUUUUUUCUAUUCAUACUUCCUUUGAGUCUGCAGCUGCUGUUCUUCUGAUUUGAUUUUUUUGUUGUUUAUUUUUAUUAGCCACUAUUCAUUCAGUACCUUUUAUAUGUCAAAACGUUUGAUAUUUAACCUACGUUAUUUAAGGGCUUUUGUACUGCUGCUGUACUUUAUAGGUGCAUAGAUAUGGUAAAAUCACACCAUGCCUCCUGCUCUGACUCUGGAUAACAUAUUCCUACAGCAGGAUCUCAUUUCAAUAAAAAUUAAAAGAAACACUAGAGAGAGGAAGAAGGGGAGAAGAUAAAUGUGGCUUUAAAUUGAUAAGUGAAAGGCAAGGAACUAACAUUUGAGGAUCUACUAUGUGUUAGACACUUUAUAACAUGGAUCUUCUUUAGAUCAUUGAGAUAAGCAGGUAGAAAGACAUCACAAAGGGAGUCUGCUUGUAUUGAUAGCAAGAAGAAAAAAAUGACUUCAUGCCAUAAAUCACUGGAAUUAUUCAGAAUUUUUGUUUUGCAUGUUAUCCUCCAUUAUGAGGACAAAGACAGCAUAAUGUCUCUAUGUAGUAAGUGUUUGGUGAAUGUUUAUUGAAUAAGUAGGGAUUUUUAUCAUGCAUAUAGUAGUGUUUCUUAAUGUUUUGGAUCCAUGGACUUAUAAAAAUUUUAUAAAAGCUAUGGCUACAUCCAGGAUGUUACCUCCCUCCCCUGCCACACACAAAAGGAAACAGCCAAGUCCCUCCCCUCACUCUAACCAUUCCCACAUCUAUAUUUGUGUAAAACCCAUGAUUUUAAACUGUUUGCAGCCCCUCUGUAAUCCAUUCACAUGACCCAAGAACUCAGCCCUGGAAACAUCUCUGGGUAUCCAGGUAGACUAAAAGCAUAGUUCCAUUAAUUUAUAGUGCUAUAUGGUUCUGCCAUGCUUUAUUGGUCCUUUAUAGACUUGAGAAAAUCACACCAUGCCUCUUGACCAUUAACAAAUGGUCAUGUUCAGUCUUCCUUUUUAUGAGUGGAAAUUCCAUCCAAUUUGCUUUUAGGUUCAUUAAUAUGUACUACAACCAAAAGAUCAGCAGCAUUAUAUACUUUAUCUUUUUUAGUCUUUUGAAGUACAAAUUAUGCGAUUUUACAGAUAAAUUAUCUCAUGGGUAGCAUAUGUCUGGCUUUCUAGGUGGAAUGAUUCCUAUUUCUUUUUGUACCUCUCCCCAUUCAGAACUCACUUUGAGGCCAAGCGUGGUUGCUCAGGCCUGUAAUCCCAGCACUUUGGGAGGCCGAGGCAGGUGGAUCACCUGAGGUCAGGAGUUGGAGACCAGCCUGGCCAACACGACAAACCCCGUCUCUACUAAAAAUACAAAAAUUAGCCUGGCAUGGUGGCACACACCUGUAAUUCCAGCUGCUCGGGAGGCUGAAGCAUGAGAAUCACUUGAACCUGGGAGGCAGAGGUUGCAGUGAGCCAAGGUUGCAGUGGAUCAAGAUCACACCACUGCACUCCAGCCUGGGCAAUAGAGUGAGACUCUGUCUCAAGAAGAAGAAAAAGAAAAAAAACUCACUUUAAACUCUGCUAGACCAUUGCCCUUGUAUGUGAAAUUUUAUCUGGAUAGAAGAAGAUGAGGAAAAAAAUUUUCUUGUCUUUUAGUGGAGGAGAAUGACAUGUAAAACAAGUAUUCUUUAAAAAUUCCAAAUAUGAUAUGAGAACUACCCCAUAAAGUUGUGAAGGUCACAUUGGUGAAAGGAAAACUAAGUGCUGUGUAAAUUACAAAGUUGUCUAAGUAUCCACCUGGUCCUUACCUUGCUAUAGAAUCUUUUUUUUUUUUAGACGGAGUCUAGCUCUGUCGCCCAGGCUGGAGUGCAGUGGCGCAAGCUCCGCUUACUGCAAGCUCCGCCUCCUGGGUUCAUGCCAUUCUCCUGCCUCAACCGCCCGAGUAGCUGGGAUUACAGGUGCCCACCACCACGCCCAGCUAAUUUUUUUUUUUUUUUUGUAUUUUUAGUAGAGACGGGGUUUUCCCAUGUUAGCCAGGAUGGUCUUGAUCUCCUGACCUCGUGAUCUGCCCACCUCGGCCUCCCAAGGUGCUGGGAUUACAGGUGUGAGCCACCACGCCCAGCCUACCUUGCUAUAGAAUCUUUAGGCCUAAUAUAGUCUAGCCAGAACAGCUAUUUGGAUGCUUGCCUAAUCUUCAAUACUGGUUUCCCUUUUAUACAUGACUGCAAAACUGACUCUCACCUAGGUUUGUGAUGUUAGAAACUCCAGUUGUUUACUAUUAUUAUUAAAGUGGGAAACGGAGUUCGUUGAUCAAAUGGAUUAAUGUUUUGAGUACUUACUAUACACCAGGGGCUCUUAAAUUUUUACAUAAACUUUCUGGAUGGAGAGUGAUAGAAUCUCCAUUGUUCACUUGCCACAAGCCACACCAUUUGUAGCUAACAUUUGAAUGCUUACUAUGAGCAAAGGCACUGUUCCAAGGGCAUUACAUGCACAUCAUUCAUAUUUCUCAUUUAAUCUUUAUAACAACUCCUUAAAAUACUGGUAGUAUUCUUGUUCCCUAAUUUGUCAAUAAGAAAACUGAAAUUUAGAGAUUAUACAAUUUGCCCAGCACUAUUGGAAAGCUGGGACUUUGAAACCUGGCUGAUUUGACUCCAAAGUCUGCACUCUAUUCCAACAGACUGCCAGUGCCUCCAGAAUUAAUUAGCAUUAAUAUUUUCUGUUGUUUAUGAUCUAAGUAUGGCUGUCCAUGGCAGGGAGUUAAUGAGGGAGGCAUUAAUGGGGAAACACUGGACCACUUCUGAGAGAUGUGGUGCCCUCCCUCACAAACAGGUUUCUUGUGGUGAAAUCAGGUUGGAAGGAUAAGAGAGGCUGAAGAAGGUGGAGGUGGUGUAGUUGGGCCUGUUUAGGAACUGAUUACAUCUGAGCCUCUGGCCCUUUUUCCUGCCAGCUGACUCAGAGCUGGCAGAUGGGCCAAAGUCCAGGCAGGUUGAUUUCAUGGGCUGUAUACUUCAAAGGAUCUGAUUCCUGGUGCUACUAAGCACAUUGCUUUUCCGAAGGCACAGUCUUGUGGGGGAGGGAACAGGAUGGUCUCCAUGAGGUGUUUGUGAAAGCCCUAGGCAAUGUUUGCUCUAAUCCAAAUAUAUACAGCUUGUUUUGAGUUUGGCAAUAAAACACAGAGCCAGCCCUAAGCAGGGCUGAAAACUGAGUAUUUAAACCUUAAGUAUUCUGCAAUACAACAACAGUUAAGUAUAUGGGUCCUAGAGUCAGAUAGAACUGAAAUCUAAUCUUGACUUCACCACUCAGCUGUAGAUAAAUUACUAGACCUCAGUUUUCUUGUUCGUGAAAUGGGGAUUUUAGUUAUAGAGUACCUACUUCAUAUGGUUGUCGUGAGGAUUAAACAAAAAUGUAUACCACAGUACCUGAGAUGUAGUAAACACUCUUGAAACAUUAGUCAUUAUUCAUUUUUUAAAUUUUUCCUUCAAAUACUUUCCUAUCCAAUAGUCAUUAUUCAUUGAAAACUUCUAUUUUAUAAGACGAUCUCAGCACUUAAACAAAAUAAAUUGAUUCAUCAUGUUUUCACUUAACAGGCAUUCAAAAGGCAUUUAUUAUUGUGUUGGGUAGAUGGAUGGAGAAAAUAGCAAUAAUUUUUGUUGAACACCUAAAAUGAGCCAAACUUUUUAAAAAAUAUUGUCUCAUUUUAUGCUCACAACAGCUCUAUGAAGUAUUUUCCUAUAUUAUAGAUGAGAUCAUGGGCCAAGAGAGGAUUAGCAACAUGCCUAAGAUCAUAUAGUCAGCACUGUCUAAUUCUGAAGCCUAUGAAUAAGGUAGCAUUUAUCCCCACGGAAGCAUGGUAUUCAGCAGGCAGGCAGACACAUAAACAAGUACAGCUGGCCCAUCUAGCCUCACGUUCUGCAUCCAUGGAUUCAACCAAAAAUGGAUUUAAAAUAUUGGGGAAAAAACAAAUAAUAAAACAACUAAAAAAUACAAAUUUUAAAAUAUAGUAUAACAACUACUUACAUAGCUUUUACAUUGUAUUAGGUAUUAUAAGUAAUGUAGAGAUGGUUUAAAGUAUACAAGAGAGUCUGGACACAGUGGCUUAUGCCUGUAAUCCCAGCUUUUUGGGAGGCCAAGGUGGGUGGAUCCCUUGAGCCCAGGAGUUUGAGACCAGCCUGAGCAACAAGAUGAAACCCUGUCUCUACAAAAAAUACAAAAAUUAGCCAGAUGUGUUGGUGCAUGCCUGUGGUCCCAGCUACUCGGGAGAGUGAGGUGGGAGAAUCACUUGAGCCUCAGAGAUCGAGGCUGCAGUAAGCUGUAAUCACGCCACUGCACUCCAGCCUGGGUGACAGAGUAAGACCCUGUCUCAAAAGUAAUAAUAAUAAUAAAGUAUACAAGAGGAUGUCAUAUGUUAUAUGCAAAUAUUAUACCUUUUUUUUUUUUUUUUUUUGAGACAGUCUCUUGCUCUGUUGCCCAGGCUGGAGUAGAGUGGUGCUAUCAUAGCUGACUGUAACCUCGAACUCUUUCCUGAACUUGAGUGAUCUUCCUGCUUCAGCCUCCCAAGUAGCUGAGACUACAGGCAUGUGCCAUCACAUCCAGCUAAUUUUUAAUUUUUAAUUUUUUUUGUAGAGAUGGGGUCUCACUGUGGUGCCCAGGCUGUUAUGCCAUUUUAUAUAAGGGACUUGAACAUCUGCAGAUUUCAAGGGGAAAGAGUUUGAGGUUACAGUCAGCUAUGAUAGCACCACUCUACUCCAGCCUGGGCAACAGAGCCAGAGACUGUCUCAAAAAAAAAAAAAAAAAGAGGAGAGUCCUGGAACCAACUCCCCACAGUUAUGGAGGAAGGACUGUACCUACAGUCAAAGUGCUGUCGUUGAGUUUUACACUAGGUGCUUGGGAGAACAGAAUGGAAUAGGUGAACUCUGGGCAUGAAGUGAAGGUAGUCCCCUUCACAGGAAUAAAUGCUAAUAAUGGGGCUUCAGGUGAGAAUGAGGAAGGAAGCCUUUGCUGGUGGAGGAGUUAAGGGAGUUCUUUCUGGGUUUCCCUAAGUCACACUAGAAGAAAAGGGUUACAGGGAGGCCUUUCUGGAAUUCCUCAAGUCAAUAUGACAGCCUCUUAGAUCCAGCAUUACAACUGCAGCAAAUUUUAUAGCUGCAAACAAAGAAACUGUCUCCAGAGAGACAGAUUAUGUUGUUUACUUGAGGCAAAAUGGUGGGGGUUCUAUAUAAAUGAUAUGUCUGCAUCCGAAUCAUCUGUACCUUUUUGGGCUUUAGAACCAAACCUAAUAGUAAUAAUAGCAACCAAUUCUUAACUGCAUGAUCAUUAGGUACUAAUCACUGCUAUGUUCACAGGCUAGAACUCUCAACUGGAGAAAGGUAGAGUUGUUUGUCUAAAUCAAUAAUCUCAAAUUAAGUACACUUAAUUUGAGCAUAUACCCCCAAUAUAUGUAUAUUACUUUAUAAGUUAUACACAUCCACUAUUGGGCUAAUAUAAAAUAUACAUUAUGAAAUGUAAACAAAAAGUUUGAAGGAAUACAAUGAAAAUGAAUAAACUUUUAUCUCAGGGAAAAUAUAUACUUAGGUUUCUGUAUCUUGUUAUUAAGUGGAUACAAAUUAAUACUGUAUUUCAAAUAGAUUUUUUAAUAGUUUUGGAUGUUUUGAGUCAGCUGGUCAGAUUUUGUUAAUCAUUGUAUUUAACUUCAUAAUGUGACUGAUGAAGGGAUCAUACUAAGUAAAAGUGUCAGUUCUGCCAUUUGAGAGUGGGGGAUCCUAUGUAUCAUCUUCAAUUCACAGGGUUUUCUUUUUCCCAGCAAUUUUUUAAAACCAAUUAUUCACUUUGUAAUAUUUCAUUUUGUUAAAGUUAGAUUUUAAAAAUCCAUAAAUCCCCUUUUGAACCACAAUAUGUCACUAAUGCUCAAAGAAAGAAACUCCAUUUGUAUCUCAUCUGAUGUGAGCGUCAAAUAUAGAAACAAUGUGGGGAUGCCAACCUCAAUCCAUAUGGAUGAAUAGGGCUUAAUUUUCUCAUGAUAAACCUAAGUAGAAGCUAUGAAAAUUCUUACCACACUUCAGUGAAUUAUCUUGUAUACCUCUAGAGUGAGCACAUUCCACUUUGGAGAUCAGUAGUCUCAGCAACAAGACCUGUGGCCAUAAAGUGGGAAUAAACAAUCCAAUUUUUAGCAAUGCUUGGCCCAGAUUCACUUAUGAGUGACAUGAGAAAGGUACAACAUGAUAUUCCAGGAAAUCAGAAGAGCUAAGUAUAUCUGAACCUUUGAGAGUAUGGCCUGUCCAUACAAAGGCAGAAUCUACAUUUGUCAAGUGCCUUCAAGAAACAUUCUACCAAGAUAUGCACCUCCACAAAAGUAAGAAAAAGAGAAAAAAAAGAUUUUAAAAUUUUAUUUUAUUUUUUUGAGAUGGAGUCUCGCUCUGUCCCCCAGGUUGGAGUGCAGUGGCGCUAUCUCAGCUCACUGCAAGCUCCGCCUCCCAGGUUCACUCCAUUCUCCUGCCUCAGCCUCCCAAGUAGCUGGGACUACAGGCGCCCACCACCACACCCGGCUAUUUUUUUUUUUUUGUAUUUUUAGUAGAGACGGGGUUUCACCGUGUUAGCCAGGAUGGUCUCAAUCUCCUGACCUCGUGAUCCACCCACCUUGGCCUCCCAAAGUGCUGGGAUUACAGGCGUGAGCCACCGCACCUGGCCUUUAAAAUUUUAUUUUUAAAAAAUCACACACACACAAAAUACAUUCUACUUUUUAAGAAAAUUGACUUAGAUUUAAUCCCAGCUCUGCUAUUUGCUAACCAUGCAAUUUUGGGAAAGUAACGACCUAUUGGAGCCUGUUUCCCAUCUCCAAAGUGAGAAUGAUUAAUGCUAUACCUACUUCACUGAGAAGAAGAGUGUAUCAUGGUCAUAUUGACCCCUCACUAUGUGCAUAGAGAUGCUGAGCUAAACUCUUUACAAGCGUUUAUUUAAUCCUCAAUAUACCAGUGACUAGAGGCUAAGCAGUUUACCAAAGCAUUUUCCUUUCCCUCCUUAGCACACAGGACUAUAUUUCCUGGCCUCCUUUGCAGUUAGGUGCAGCCACAUUACUGUGUUCUAGCCAUUGAAAUAUGGAAAGAAAUGAUCAAUACUACCUCCAGCCCUGGCCCAUAAAACUUUCCUUUCCAUUCUUCGUGCUCUCAUUCUUCCUUCAUCUGCCGGAGGAUUCAGCAGAACCAUUAGGUGCACAGAGCUCUUCUCUCCUCCCACUACUUCCAACGUGCAUUGAACUGUGAUGUGAGCCAGAAAUAAACUCUUAUUGUGUUAAAU